rnacentral:rRNA from 1 species
UGGGGAAUUUUGGACAAUGGGCGAAAGCCUGAUCCAGCAAUGCCGCGUGUGUGAAGAAGGCCUUCGGGUUGUAAAGCACUUUUGUCCGGAAAGAAAUCCUUGGCUCUAAUACAGUCGGGGGAUGACGGUACCGGAAGAAUAAGCACCGGCUAACUACGUGCCAGCAGCCGCGGUAAUACGUAGGGUGCAAGCGUUAAUCGGAAUUACUGGGCGUAAAGCGUGCGCAGGCGGUUUGCUAAGACCGAUGUGAAAUCCCCGGGCUCAACCUGGGAACUGCAUUGGUGACUGGCAGGCUAGAGUAUGGUAGAGGGGGGUAGAAUUCCACGUGUAGCAGUGAAAUGCGUAGAGAUGUGGAGGAAUACCGAUGGCGAAGGCAGCCCCCUGGGCCAAUACUGACGCUCAUGCACGAAAGCGUGGGGAGCAAACAGGAUUAGAUACCCUGGUAGUCCACGCCCUAAACGAUGUCAACUAGUUGUUGGGGAUUCAUUUCCUUAGUAACGUAGCUAACGCGUGAAGUUGACCGCCUGGGGAGUACGGUCGCAAGAUUAAAACUUAAAGGAAUUGACGGGGUCAUAGCUGUUUCCU